GACGGCCGGAUGGCCGCCUCUCGCAAUGGGGAAACCCGCGAGGGGAGGAAAGUCCGGGCUCCACGGAGACACGGUGCCGGUUAACGGCCGGCGGGGGCGACCCUAGGGAAAGUGCCACAGAAAGCAAACCGCCCCGCCACAAAACCGCCCGCUUCGGCGGUAAAAACGGGACCUUCGGUCCCCAGCGGUUUUUAGGCGGGGUAAGGGUGAAAGGGUGCGGUAAGAGCGCACCGCGCCCCCGGCAACGGGGGUGGCAGGGCAAACCCCACCGGGAGCAAGACCAAGUAGGGGCGGCACGCCGGAGCUUCUCCGGCAGGCGGGUUUCCGCGCCGCCGCCCGGGUAGGUCGCGCGAGGCGUCCGGUAACGGGCGUCCCAGAUGAAUGGCCAUCUAUCCCCGCGAGGGGUGGACAGAACCCGGCUUACAGGCCGUCUGG
rnacentral:RNase_P_RNA from 1 species